rnacentral:rRNA from 1 species
GUAAUGCCGGAUGCUCCAGUUGAUCGCAUGGUCUUCUGGGAAAGCUUUCGCGGUAUGGGAUGGGGUCGCGUCCUAUCAGCUUGACGGCGGGGUAACGGCCCACCGUGGCUUCGACGGGUAGCCGGCCUGAGAGGGCGACCGGCCACAUUGGGACUGAGAUACGGCCCAGACUCCUACGGGAGGCAGCAGUGGGGAAUAUUGCACAAUGGGCGCAAGCCUGAUGCAGCGACGCCGCGUGAGGGAUGGAGGCCUUCGGGUUGUAAACCUCUUUUAUCGGGGAGCAAGCGAGAGUGAGUUUACCCGUUGAAUAAGCACCGGCUAACUACGUGCCAGCAGCCGCGGUAAUACGUAGGGUGCAAGCGUUAUCCGGAAUUAUUGGGCGUAAAGGGCUCGUAGGCGGUUCGUCGCGUCCGGUGUGAAAGUCCAUCGCUUAACGGUGGAUCCGCGCCGGGUACGGGCGGGCUUGAGUGCGGUAGGGGAGACUGGAAUUCCCGGUGUAACGGUGGAAUGUGUAGAUAU